ACGGAAGGCAGCAGUGGGGAAUAUUGCACAAUGGGGGAAACCCUGAUGCAGCGACGCCGCGUGAAGGAAGAAGUAUCUCGGUAUGUAAACUUCUAUCAGCAGGGAAGAUAAUGACGGUACCUGACUAAGAAGCCCCGGCUAACUACGUGCCAGCAGCCGCGGUAAUACGUAGGGGGCAAGCGUUAUCCGGAUUUACUGGGUGUAAAGGGAGCGUAGACGGUCUGGCAAGUCUGAUGUGAAAGGCAGGGGCUCAACUCCUGGACUGCAUUGGAAACUGUCAGUCUUGAGUGUCGGAGAGGUAAGCGGAAUUCCUAGUGUAGCGGUGAAAUGCGUAGAUAUUAGGAGGAACACCAGUGGCGAAGGCGGCUUACUGGACGAUAACUGACGUUGAGGCUCGAAAGCGUGGGGAGCAAACAGGAUUAGAUACCCUGGUA
rnacentral:rRNA from 1 species